rnacentral:rRNA from 1 species
UACGGAGGGUGCGAGCGUUGUCCGGAAUCACUGGGCGUAAAGGGCGCGUAGGUGGCUUUGUAAGCGGGCGGUGAAAGUCCGGGGCUCAACCCCGGAUCGGCCGUGCGGACUGCAAAGCUCGAGCACUGUAGAGGCAGGUGGAAUUCCGGGUGUAGCGGUGGAAUGCGUAGAGAUCCGGAGGAACACCAGUGGCGAAGGCGGCCUGCUGGGCAGUGGCUGACACUGAGGCGCGAAAGCUAGGGGAGCAAACAGG